AUCUGGCUCAUAGACAAGCAUAAAGGCGGCUUGGGCAGCGCGUGGCGUUGGCGCGCGUUUUUAUCAUGUCACAACGUUAUCGUAUCAAAUAAUAACGGUGACGGCGUGUGUUGUUUUUAUUGCCGAGUUUGUACUUUCCUUAAAUUAAACGUAAAAUUAUUAUUAUUAUUAUUAAUUACACUGUUGUUCAUUGUCAUACGUGGUUUUUUAUUCAAUAGUGUUUCCCGGUGUGUCAAACGUUAUCAUAUAUAUAAUAAUGAAAAUUAAAAACGGCGAACGGCGUGUUUUGUUUUUUUUGGUGAAUUUUUGUCUUUGUAGUUUGUUAUAUUAUAUACAUAUAAUUAUAUAUUAAACGUAUAAUAGUUAUUAUUAAUUACAUAUUUGUCCGUAAUUCGCUCACGGUUUUCGUUCAAGAGAAAUCGACGUGUUUCCCGGUGUGCAAACAUUACCUAUUAAUAUGCGUCGUUGGAUGUCGGCCAAUACUAUAGUGAAAUCAUAACCGACGCGUGUCCGUUUAGAAGAUUGAUUGCUACUUCUAUCUACUCUGUCUUUAAUUAAUACAAUAAGUAGUUAUUAUUGUUACCAUUGGUUACAGACUGUUAUCCUAUGCCGUCACCGAUUAAUUUGCCUGCGGCCAACAGAAAACUUACACCGUAGAAGUUCAUUUUUUGUUAUUUAUGAAGUAUUUUUUAAUAAUUAGUGCCUAUCUAAUCUCUAUACUCAACCCUAAUUUAAAUUGACAGUUUUUUUUUCAUUAUACAGUGUCUUAACCGACUUCUCUUAACGCUUUAGUUUCUUAACGUGCACACACAUACGAUACUAAUGUACAAAUAAUUAAGACAUUAAUUAUUUCAAAUUUUUUUGUUAAAGCUGUACAAUUAUGAUCACUACAUAGAAUAAAAAUUAUUUUAGUUUUUUUA